rnacentral:rRNA from 1 species
AGUUUGAUCCUGGCUCAGAUUGAACGCUGGCGGCAUGCCUUACACAUGCAAGUCGAACGGUAACGCGGGGCAACCUGGCGACGAGUGGCGAACGGGUGAGUAAUGCAUCGGAACGUGCCCAGUAGUGGGGGAUAGCUCGGCGAAAGCCGGAUUAAUACCGCAUACGACCUAAGGGUGAAAGCGGGGGACCGUAAGGCCUCGCGCUAUUGGAGCGGCCGAUGUCAGAUUAGGUUGUUGGUGGGGUAAAAGCCUACCAAGCCGACGAUCUGUAGCUGGUCUGAGAGGACGACCAGCCACACUGGGACUGAGACACGGCCCAGACUCCUACGGGAGGCAGCAGUGGGGAAUUUUGGACAAUGGGGGCAACCCUGAUCCAGCCAUGCCGCGUGCGGGAAGAAGGCCUUCGGGUUGUAAAGCUCUUUCGGACGGAACGAAACGGUUACGGUGAAUAUCCGUGACUAAUGACGGUACCGUAAGAAGAAGCACCGGCUAACUACGUGCCAGCAGCCGCGGUAAUACGUAGGGUGCGAGCGUUAAUCGGAAUUACUGGGCGUAAAGCGUGCGCAGGCGGUUCGCCAAGUCAGGUGUGAAAUCCCCGGGCUUAACCUGGGAAUUGGGCUUGAAACUAGCGGGCUUGAGUGUGGCAGAGGGGGGUGGAAUUCCACGUGUAGCAGUGAAAUGCGUAGAGAUGUGGAGGAACGCCCGAUGGCGAGGGCAGCCCCCUGGGUCAACACUGACGCUCAUGCACGAAAGCGUGGGCGAGCAAACAGGAUUAGAUACCCUGGUAGUCCACGCCCUAAACGAUGUCGACUAGGUGUUGGGGAAGGAGACUUCCUUAUUACCGCACCUAACGCGUGAAGUCGACCGCCUGGGGAGUAC